GUCCGUAGCGCUGCCUCAGCCCAGGCGGCUCUCCCCCCGCGCGCCCCCCCUCCCUUCCCGGCAUGCCCCAGGGCAGCGGGGCUGGCUCUAACGAAUUUGAAUGAAGAGCCCUGCUCUUUCGGCGCCAUUUUCGAGUGAUGCCCGAUCGCAUCGCUGCCGCGGGGGAGCCGCGGUUCGCGGGGCCGCCCGCCGCCGCGCUGGCUGCCGCCAAAAGUCACCUCCCUCCCCCUCUGCUCCCCCCUCUCCCCCUCGCCGCCGCUACCACCGCUGUGCUUCGGAGCGGGUGCCGCCACCGGCAUAGGCGGUUUCGACCUUUCAAUAGAGAGCUGAUUUUGGAGAACAGCUUAACUCCUGUGAUUGAAAAACUCUCUCUGGAAGGUGAAUAGAGCAUGAGCAUGGUCUGAUCAGCAACUCCAGUGCAAUUUGAAAAUAUGUAAUCUGCAGGCAGUGAUGUGCCCAACCUUAAUCGGUGCUGGAGCCUUUGGAAGAGAGAUUGUGUCAUCAUACAGUAUAUAGUCCAACAAUGACUGACCUUGAUGAAUCUGUGAAAGAAGAAAAUAGUUUUCUCACUUCUUAAUUUGCAAAAUGCACAAAAGAAAAAAGGAGGCGGGGGAACAUGGAAUUUAACCCACUGAUGUUGUUAGAUUCUCGGGGGUGUAAGGGAGGUUUUUUAUUUUGUUGGGGGGGUGUGUUGAACAGUUAGUUAAUAAUCAUGUACAGUGAUAAAGAGAUCUUAAUCACACACAUGAACUCUUGAUUUUCAGAAUGAAUAUUUAUACCAAAUAUAGCUGAAUACUCAAGUGCUCAAACCAAGCAUACGUGUAAGCUUUUAAGGAACUGAAUUCUUAGUCUUUUAUAGGUAAGACACUACCAAUUUAAGCAUAAGCAUUUUCAUGCCAACAUGACUCUCGUCUCUUUUUUUUUUUUUCUUCCUUUUACCAGCUUGAUUUUUGGGCCUAAAUCAAAGAGAUAGGUUCUGUUGUUAAGUUACUGUUAAGGCUGUAUUCAGAAUUUUGUUUAUUUGAACAGAGCAAGAACAAAUGUGUAAGUACCAGCAAUGUGCAGACCAAUAUUGCAAUAUUGGUCUGUUCUAUCUUUAAGCAGGUGGUUUCAUGUGGCAGGCUGGAAGAGAGACUCUUUUUCUUCCCAGCUUUUGACAAAAAGAUGACGCAUAUGACUCAGAAUUAGAAGGGGAAAUCUGCCAGUUUGCAUCAGUUCCUUAACUUGUGGGCUGCUAUUCACCACAAGGAAAAUCAGUAUACUCGCACCAGUGCUUCUUGAGAGAUGAGGAGUAAUCAUUUCCUUCAGAAAGUGUAGGAUGAUUGGAGUAGGCCUUUCAUAUAUUACACUAGGCUUAUCCUAUAAUAAGAUAUUUUUCAAAUGUAUUAAAUUUUUAGGAAGAAAAAAACCAAAUAAUGUUCUUAAAUGCUACCUUUAAUGUUUAAAAUAGGAAUCAAGCAUAUUAUAGCUUAAUGCAGAGUAAAAGCAAAGGAAUCUGCUUCCUCUUGAAAAUAUAAAACUUCUGUUUUGCUGGCACUGAAAUUCAAAAACCAUUGUAGAUCUCCACAGUUAAAAGGUAAGGUUUUACUUAUUUUUUUUAACCUCAUUCCACAUAUCUGAAUCUCCAGUUCCAGCUUUUAAGUAAGUUAGUAGGACUGAAAAAAAAUUAAAUAUAGUAACUUAGAGGGCAGAAGCCAUCUGUUUUGAAGGGGAAAAUAAUGACUUGAAGUAAGGAAGAUCUGAUUUUCAAAAUGUCAUGCUUUAGACCUGCUAAAAAAGAUAAUGUACAACAUAGUGAUAAUUCUGAUUCUUUCACAUAGGUUUGGGUUAUGAUGGAGAGAGACUUCUUGCAGUACUGAUAUUUGUUCAAAGAACAUACUGUCAACUAACCUUUUAUUUAAACAAAAGUCAAUUCCUAAUUGUUCAGAGAUUAAUGUCGGUUUUUUGGUUUGUAGAUAUUUACUAGACGGUUUGAUAGGGCUGAGAGUACAAUUUUGAUUUUUAUUUUGACUGCUAGUGUGCUUUAGGUAUUGGAUUAUAAAUCUUUUUCUUAAUAUAUUAACUUCUAGUUAAUUCAGCAUGGUUUUACUUAAAGCUUGUUAGUGAAAUAUUGAAAAUCUAGCUUAAUAUAAAGCCAUAAAAGGCAAUGAGCAUCCUUAUCUCUUUUUCUUUUUUCAAUGGAUAAAGUUACUUUCAUUUGGCAAAACUGUUGUUGUCUUGAAAAAGCAUAUCCUAAAUGAAGUUCAUCUUCUUGCUGGAAAAAUAAAUUUCACUGCUUAGCAAUUUGUGUCAACCUUAGAAAGCACCAUUUUAUUUUGCAUUAGCUUAGUUCUAUGAGUAGUGAGUCUCACCAGCGGGGAUGUGGGGAGCCAACCCAUAAGUGGUUUUGAAAGGGAGUAUACACAUCUGUGUGUUAGAUGGUAUCUCUUCUAUGAAUAUUUCACGGAGAGGUGGGGGGGAAGAAUGAAGCAGCCUUCUGAGUUGCUGCUCCUGCAGAUUUCCUCAGCUACCAUUAAAUAAACAAUAAUCUAAGUAGAUAAUAUGACUAGGAAUCUGCACCCCAAAGGUGUUAAGGACACUUGAAACUUCUGCUGAAGUGACUAAUUAAAUAAUGAAGUUGUAGAAAUACAGCUGAGGAUUGGAAAAGUUACAGCAAUUUCUAGGCAGUGUUCCUCUGCUGUUAACUAGUCAAUUCCCUUAACAGUUGAGUUGAUUUCUUCUAACAGUUCAGUCUCACCUUUCAUAAGUCAUAUAAUUGUCUGGCAUUUUAUAGAAGUCAUGUAGAGAUGAUGUCAAGAAAAAGACAAAUUUACUGUCUGAGCCAGAAGGCAGGCUCACAAAAAGCAACUUCUUUCAGGACACGAAAAGCUCUUUGUUCUGUGGCCUUGGUCUUUUUGUGCUUUGACCCUUAUUUUAUAGCAUUGUCACUCUGACCCUAAAUCUUUUGAAGCAGACACACAGCAAAUUUAGCCCUUUACAAGUAGGGUUGCAUUCUGAACUAUGGGCCUGGUUUUUGUCUUUAGGCAUUAUAGUUCCAUACAAUGCCGAAAUGUAACAAAAUCAAAAUUUAAGAUUUGUGGGGUUUUGUAGUGCAAGUAGUAGUAUUUACAUAUCAGGCCAGUUUUUUAUAUAUAUUGCUAUAUUAAUGUCCUAUGAUUUAUUAUUACUUACCAAUUUCAGAUAAGAUAGCAACUAGGAAGUCAGUCUAGUUCACACUGACUAAUGUAUUUUCUACUUUCCCAGCAGUACUUUGGAAACUGAUCCUGUGCACAGACCACCAGGGUUCUUGCAAAAUGCUACUUGAGUAUUAAGUAUUCUGCUGAGGACAAGAAAUGCUUUGCUGUACGUUAUAGAGUUAGAAAAUUUAAACAGCAAUACCUGCAUGGCUUGCUUUCAUAAAAGACUGAGUGCCAGCUGAGGAGAGCACAAAAUUUUAUACUAGGCCUGUGACUUCUUCCUGGGCUAAAUGAGCAAGUCUUCUGAGAAUUUAAUAAAGCUAAAUUCUUUAAGAAAGCAGGAAAAUAAUUAAAACGACAGAAAACUAAUAGCUGAUAUGUUCAGAUUAAAAAAAAAAAUAAUAUAUUUAAGAGGAGAACCUGUUUGCCUAUCGUAGUAACUUCCCAUUAUAUAGCUGGUUGGUAUUGUAUGAGUAUUGUUAUUUGGAAGAGGGUUCUUCC